AACUGCAUAAUAGGAACAGGUGCCCUUUGGGGCUUAAUAGGGAAGUCCGGUUGAAAGCCGGCGCGGUCCCGCCACUGUAACGGGGAGUAAACCCAGGAUAUGCCACUGGAAGGAAAAUUCCGGGAAGGUCUGGGUGCAUGAUGAGCCGGAGCCAGGAGAACUGCCUGUUUUACAAUCACCGUU
rnacentral:ncRNA from 19 species